CUUUAUCGGAGAGUUUGAUCCUGGCUCAGGAUGAACGCU
rnacentral:rRNA from 1 species